rnacentral:rRNA from 1 species
AUGUGCCGCACCAAAGCCCGCGUCGAGCCGCGUGCCCAAGCACUGGAACAAACCCUAACUCCUACCCCCGCAUCCAAGAUGGUCGCCCAACGGCAACGCUCCAGUUCAUGUAGCAGCCGCCGCCACCUCGCCGGCUCUCUCAUGUUCCUCGCGACGACCGCCUUCGCGCUCCUCCUCCUCCCCCGCUCGUCGCCCCUCAGCUAUGACAUCGUUAUUGACGCCGGCAGCACGGGGAGCCGCGUCCACGUCAUCACCUACCACGCGGGUGCGCUCCCGCAGCUGGAUUGGUCGCGCACGUCGUCACUGAAGGCCACCCCUGGUUUGUCCUCGUUCGCAGCCGACCCAGGCAGCGGGGGCCUGUCGAUCGCCCCGCUGUUGGAGUUCGCAAGGCGGCAUGUGCCGCGGGAUAAUUGGGUUCACACCGAGGUGCGACUCAUGGCCACGGCCGGAGUCCGUCUGCUUGAUGUCACGACUGCUGAAGCGGUCAUGGAGUCAUGCAGGAAGCUGCUUCGGGAGUCAGGCUUCCGUUUCCAGGAUCAGUGGGCCACUAUGAUCUCAGGAGCUGAUGAAGGGAUUUAUGCAUGGGUUGCGGCAAAUUAUGCAUUGGGUACUCUCGGUGGUGCUAGACAAGAUACUACUGGGAUAAUUGAGCUUGGUGGGGCUUCUAUUCAGAUAACGUUCGCCACCGAUAAACCUAUGCCUCCGGAGUUCUCCCACGUGUUCAAGUUCGGCGAUAUCACAUAUAACCUGUACAGCCACAGUUUUCUACAUCUUGUGUCCACACAUUUAAUUCAUGAAGCUACAUACAGAGAUCCUUGCACCCCAAGGGGAUUUUCGCCCAUGGCGGGACCAGUUAAAGUUCCUGCUAGUGUUCUCGAGUCCAAGGCUGACUACAAACCUUUUGCUCAUGCGGUUGGUAACUUCUCUGAGUGUAGAUCUGUGGUGAGAACAUUAUUGCAGAAAGGACAAGAGGAAUGUAUAUAUCAUGAUUGUCGUCUGGGAGCAGCAUUUGUACCAGACCUGGAAGGAAAAUUCUUAGCAACCGAGAAUUUCUACCAUACCUUGAAGUUCUUUGGGCUCCGUUCGAAGUCUUUUCUUUCUGAUUUGAUGCUGGCUGGAGACCAAUUUUGCCAUGGGGAUUGGUCAUCAAACAUUAAAAGGGAGCACUGUUCUUUCAAUGAGGGGGAACUGCUCCUUUUUUGCUUCUCCUCGGCGUAUAUUGUGGCCUUACUGCAUGAUACUCUAAAAGUGCCCAUGGAUCAUAAGAACAUUGAUGUUACAAAUCAAAUUCGGGGUGUGCCAGUUGACUGGGCAUUGGGCGCUUUCAUUGUGCAGAAAAACUAA